rnacentral:lncRNA from 1 species
UGCUGUGUUUAAAUGCCAAAUGAUUCUUGACCACUACUGACACAGAUCUUCUUAAGCAUGUAACGGCUGAACGGUUGUUUUUCAGUUGCUUAUAUGUAUUAUUAAAAUAAAGAUCAUUUAGUGUUUUAAUCAGAGACGCUAAACUGGCCUGUCUGCAGGAGGUGGACUCAAUGAUUCAUUUAGUUUGCGUGUAAAGAAGAGCGAUUCUGCACAGUCAGUGAGCCGUCCAGCUAGCCAUCCUUGGCAAGCUUAAACUGGCAGCGUAGUCACCCACUCCAUCAUAUCUGACACUUGAAUCAGCAGCGGCUCGUAAUGCAUGAAUGGCAGGAUGCAUCUGUUUGUGUUUUUUCUGGCCAACCCCAAACCACAGCACACCGCAAAACAACCACACCGGUUACAGACAUGUUCCACAUACUCACUGAGGACGAGGCAACAAUAAGUAUCUCACUCAGCAGGAAAGCCCAGCUCUCAACACCAGACAGAGGCAGCUAAUACCCCUGUCUGUCAGGGCCGCUCAAAGAGCAAGUGAUUGGAGAUGACAAACGAGGCAGUAAGACAGGUCCGGCAGCUAUACGGCAGCAGAGAGAGAGAGGGAGCAAAGAGAGAGCAGGCGGGGACUGAAAGGAGCAUGUAAGUGCCAACAGGGAGGAGGUAUUUCAAGUGUGUGUGUGUGUUCUUACAUAUUUGUUAAUCAUACCGUGAGGGUCUCUGGGGCUCUGACGCCACACUCGUCCGUCCGUCUGAAGGAGGUCGAAGUUUGUUUCCAUGCUCGGGAUUCACUUCCAGCACCAGCUCUGUGCCCCGUGAGGGUCUCCGUCACUCAGGCUUACACACUGGAAUACAAAAGAGGGAGAACAAAUGAUGUGUGUGUGUGUGUGUGUGAAGAUACAGCCACGAAACCCUCCAAAUAAUCUGAGAAAGACGUGAUAACCUCGUGUGUGGCGGGCCUCACCUCUCUUCGUCAGGCUGCAUCUUGGGGACCGGUCCCAAAGGUCAAGACCAGCCCUGAUAACUGAGUCCAUCCCACAAUGACUGUGAAAGAACUCUUUGACUCAAUGUAUUCAGAUGUUUCCAUCAUCACAUAUGAAACUGGCCUGUCAGCCUCAUUUGUACACUUCUUUGUAUUAUCUGUCACAUUAUCUUCGCCGUGUGGAGGAUUAUAUUGAUGAUACACAGAAUGUGUCAGGCUUCUGUUAACUUCUCUAACUUGUGAUCGUGUUGAAUAUUGAUACCAGUACCUUUGAAUGAACAUUUCUCAUAUUGUAUACGCUGUGUUGGUGAUCGAUUCAUUCAUAUUUGCCCAUUUUUAACUAUUAAAGUUGUCAAAAUAUAUAAAGUUUUAACAGCCAAAAGGAUUUUAUUUUGUGUGCAGGUU